UACAGAGGGGGCAAGCGUUGUUCGGAAUUACUGGGCGUAAAGGGCGCGUAGGCGGCCUGUCGCGUCGGCUGUGAAAACCCGGGGCUCAACCCCGGGCCUGCAGUCGAUACGGGCAGGCUAGAGUCCGGUAGGGGAGACUGGAAUUCCUGGUGUAGCGGUGAAAUGCGCAGAUAUCAGGAGGAACACCGGUGGCGAAGGCGGGUCUCUGGGCCGGAACUGACGCUAAGGAGCGAAAGCGUGGGGAGCGAACAGG
rnacentral:rRNA from 1 species